rnacentral:lncRNA from 1 species
GGGAGUUCAUGGGCGGGGUGUUUAUGGCCACGCCCCGCGUCGGGAUGUCGAUGACCAGGUUCUCCUUCCGGCGGCCCGAGGCGGAGGAGCUCGUGGAGGAGGUGCCGGCGAAGGGGGGAGGCAGUGUCGGCGGCGGCGGCGCGGCGAGGCCGGCGUUGGUGACGUCGUCGUGGGUGCCCCAGAAGAGGACGUUGGUGGGGAAGACGGGGAACUCGACGGGCUCCUCCCUUGGCAGGGCGCCGAGGUCGGCGGCGACGGGGGCGCGGCAGAGCGGGCAGGUGUCGUGGGAGUGGAACCACAUGUCGAUGCACUCGACGUGGAAGCCGUGCGCGCACUUGGGAAGCGUCCGCACCUUCUCGCCGUCGGCCACC